UACAGAGGUCCCAAGCGUUGUUCGGAUUCACUGGGCGUAAAGGGUGCGCAGGUGGUUUGGCAAGUUUGACGUGAAAGCCCCGGGCUUAACCCGGGAAUGGCGUUGAAAACUGCUUGAACUGGAGGGUUGGAGGGGGGACUGGAAUUCUUGGUGUAGCAGUGAAAUGCGUAGAUAUCAAGAGGAACACCAGUGGCGAAGGCGAGUCCCUGGACAACACCUGACACUGAGGCACGAAAGCUAGGGGAGCAAACAGG
rnacentral:rRNA from 1 species